rnacentral:rRNA from 1 species
GAUGAACGCUGGCGGCGUGCUUAAUACAUGCAAGUCGAACGGAAGAGGUAGCAAUACUAAAUUAGUGGCGAACGGGUGAGUAACGCGUUGGUGACCUGCCCCAGAUCGAGGGAUAACAGUUCGAAAGGACUGCUAAUACCGCAUGAAAUUACGGAAGUUAGGUUACCGUAAUGAAAGGAGCGAUCCGAUAUGGGAGGGGCCUGCGUCCCAUCAGCUAGUUGGUGAGGUAAAAGCCCACCAAGGCGACGACGGGUAGGGGGCCUGAGAGGGUGACCCCCCACACUGGCACUGAAACACGGGCCAGACACCUACGGGUGGCUG